rnacentral:rRNA from 1 species
GACAGAGGAUGCAAGCGUUAUCCGGAAUGAUUGGGCGUAAAGCGUCUGUAGGUGGCUUUUAAGUCCGCCGUCAAAUCCCAGGGCUCAACCCUGGACAGGCGGUGGAACGCUACCAAGCUGGAGUACGGUAGGGGCAGAGGGAAUUUCCGGUGGAGCGGUGAAAUGCGUAGAGAUCGGAAAGAACACCAACGGCGAAAGCACUCUGCUGGGCCGACACUGACACUGAGACGCGAAAGCCAGGGAGCGAACGGG